AAGUGAUGCGGUAGAGGAGCGUUCUGUAAGCCUGUGAAGGUGAGUUGAGAAGCUUGCUGGAGGUAUCAGAAGUGCGAAUGCUGACAUGAGUAACGACAAUGGGUGUGAAAAACACCCACGCCGAAAGACCAAGGUUUCCUGCGCAACGUUAAUCGACGCAGGGUUAGUCGGUCCCUAAGGCGAGGCUGAAAAGCGUAGUCGAUGGAAAACAGGUUAAUAUUCCUGUACUUCUGGUUAUUGCGAUGGAGGGACGGAGAAGGCUAGGCCAGCUUGGCGUUGGUUGUCCAAGUUUAAGGUGGUAGGCUGAAAUCUUAGGUAAAUCCGGGGUUUCAAGGCCGAGAGCUGAUGACGAGUUACCCUUUGGGUGACGAAGUGGUUGAUGCCAUGCUUCCAAGAAAAGCUUCUAAGCUUCAGAUAACCAGGAACCGUACCCCAAACCGACACAGGUGGUUGGGUAGAGAAUACCAAGGCGCUUGAGAGAACUCGGGUGAAGGAACUAGGCAAAAUGGCACCGUAACUUCGGGAGAAGGUGCGCCGGUGAGGGUCAAGCACUUGCUGCGUAAGCCCACGCCGGUCGAAGAUACCAGGCCGCUGCGACUGUUUAUUAAAAACACAGCACUCUGCAAACACGAAAGUGGACGUAUAGGGUGUGACGCCUGCCCGGUGCCGGAAGGUUAAUUGAUGGGGUUAGCUAACGCGAAGCUCUUGAUCGAAGCCCCGGUAAACGGCGGCCGUAACUAUAACGGUCCUAAGGUAGCGAAAUUCCUUGUCGGGUAAGUUCCGACCUGCACGAAUGGCGUAACGAUGGCGGCGCUGUCUCCACCCGAGACUCAGUGAAAUUGAAAUCGCUGUGAAGAUGCAGUGUAUCCGCGGCUAGACGGAAAGACCCCGUGAACCUUUACUAUAGCUUUGCACUGGACUUUGAAUUUGCUUGUGUAGGAUAGGUGGGAGGCUUUGAAGCGUGGACGCCAGUCUGCGUGGAGCCAUCCUUGAAAUACCACCCUGGCAACUUUGAGGUUCUAACUCAGGUCCGUUAUCCGGAUCGAGGACAGUGUAUGGUGGGUAGUUUGACUGGGGCGGUCUCCUCCUAAAGAGUAACGGAGGAGUACGAAGGUGCGCUCAGACCGGUCGGAAAUCGGUCGUAGAGUAUAAAGGCAAAAGCGCGCUUGACUGCGAGACAGACACGUCGAGCAGGUACGAAAGUAGGUCUUAGUGAUCCGGUGGUUCUGUAUGGAAGGGCCAUCGCUCAACGGAUAAAAGGUACUCCGGGGAUAACAGGCUGAUACCGCCCAAGAGUUCAUAUCGACGGCGGUGUUUGGCACCUCGAUGUCGGCUCAUCACAUCCUGGGGCUGAAGCCGGUCCCAAGGGUAUGGCUGUUCGCCAUUUAAAGUGGUACGCGAGCUGGGUUUAGAACGUCGUGAGACAGUUCGGUCCCUAUCUGCCGUGGACGUUUGAGAUUUGAGAGGGGCUGCUCCUAGUACGAGAGGACCGGAGUGGACGAACCUCUGGUGUUCCGGUUGUCACGCCAGUGGCAUUGCCGGGUAGCUAUGUUCGGAAAAGAUAACCGCUGAAAGCAUCUAAGCGGGAAACUUGCCUCAAGAUGAGAUCUCACUGGAGCCUUGAGCUCCCUGAAGGGCCGUCGAAGACUACGACGUUGAUAGGCAGGGUGUGUAAGCGCUGUGAGGCGUUGAGCUAACCUGUACUAAUUGCCCGUGAGGCUUGACCAUAUAACACCCAAGCAAUUUGG
rnacentral:rRNA from 1 species